CCUACGGGCGGCAGCAGUGAGGAAUAUUGGUCAAUGGGCUGACGCCUGAACCAGCCAAGUCGCGUGAAGGAAGACUGCCCUAUGGGUUGUAAACCGCUUUUGUCAGGGAGCAACGCCGGCUACGUGUAGCCGGACUGAGAGUACCUGAAGAAAAAGCAUCGGCUAACUCCGGGCAAGCAGCCGCGGUAAUACGGAGGAUGCGAGCGUUAUCCGGAUUUAUUGGGUUUAAGGGGUGCGUAGGCGGAAUGCCAAGUCAGCGGUAAAAUCCCGGGGCCAAACCUCGCUCCGCCGUUGAAACUGGCGUUCUUGAGUCGGCGAGAAGUAUGCGGAAUGCGUGGUGUAGCGGUGAAAUGCAUAGAUAUCACGAAGAACUCCGAUUGCGAAGGCAGCAUGCCGGAGCCCAACUGACGCUGAAGCACGAAAGCGUGGGUAUCGAACAGGAUUAGAUACCCCGGUAGUC
rnacentral:rRNA from 1 species